AACGAACGCUGGCGGCAUGCCUAACACAUGCAAGUCGAACGAAACCUCCGGGUCUUGUGGCGCACGGGUGCGUAACGCGUGGGAACCUGCCCUUAGGUUCGGAAUAACUCCCCGAAAGGGGUGCUAAUACCGGAUAAGGUCUUCGGACCAAAGAUUUAUCGCCUUUGGUUGGGCCCGCGUUGGAUUAGCUAGUUGGGAGGGUAAAAGCCUACGACGGCGACGAUCCAUAGCUGGGUUGAGAGAAUGAUCAGCCACACUGGGAGUGGGACGCGGCCCAGACUCCUACGCGAGGGAGCAGUGGGUGAUAUUGGAACAUGGGCGGAAGCCUGAUGCAGCAAUGCCGGGUGAGUGCUGAAGGUCUUAGGGUUGUAAAGCUCUUUUACCCGGGAUGAUAAUGACGGUACCGGGAGAAUAAGCUACGGCUAACUACGUG
rnacentral:rRNA from 1 species